CAGAAGCCAGCUGUGGGUAAAGAGAAGAAUGUGGAUCUUCACUUUGAUUUGGAAAAGAGUGAUAGGGAUAGUGGUAGCGGUAGUGGUAGCGUAGCUGGCAACAAGCUGCAGCAGCAUGUCCAAAACCAAAAGCAGCAGCAGCAGCAACCUCCAGUCCCUGAGAAAACUGGUAAAGUAAAUGGGUCUUCUUUUUAAAAAAUAAUAAUAAUGAUCUUUGUGAACAUUUUGUUCUCUUGAAAUUUGUCUUGGUUGGUUUGUUAAUAUACUCAUUUUGUAUUUCAGCUCAAUCAAAUUCUUUGCCUCUUCCACUCUCAAUGGCUAGUUGGCCUGGUGCCCUUCCUCCGAUGGGGUACGGAUUAUUGAGAUUCUAUUAAAUGCUCUUGAUGAUUGGGAAUCUGUGUUCAUGUUCUGCUUGCUCUUUAUUGGGGAGAUGACUCUUAGUUUUAUGUGCAGAUACAUGGCACCUUUACAAGGAGUUGUAUCCAUGGAUGGAACUGCUGUCUCUUCUGCUGCUGUACGACAUGUGGUUUCUUUCUUUCUUUUUUGGUUCUUUUCUUUUUUUUGUUUUUGGGGGGGCGGUGUUGUUUAACUACUAAAAACGGGGUGUUUAACUACAAAUGUUUUUAGAUUCAUUUCUUCUCAUAGAAGUUAAAACUUCUUGUGUGCAGCCUCCACAUGUGUUGUUUUCUCAACCUAGACCAAAAAGGUGUGCAACGCAUUGCUACAUUGCUCGGAAUAUACACUACCACCAGCAAUUUACAAAAAUGAAUCCUUUCUGGCCAGCGGCAGCUGGUUCUGCUUCACUUUAUGGCGCCAAGGCAGCGUGCAAUCUCAAUGUUGUGCCUCCCACAGAAUUGCAAGGAAGCUUUUCAGGAAGAGGUGUGAAUACUGUGCCAGAUAAGGGGCAGGGUCUGGCAAUCUUUCCUAGUCAUUCUGGGAAAGAUGGCAAAAGUUCUCAGCCUGCCACCAUUAUGGAUGCUGCACAAAGAAAGCAGGUUUUACUUCAGCAAGCUCUACCACCAGGAGCUCCUAGUAACAUACUGGUAAUAGGUCUUUUCUGCAAUUUAUAAUUCUUGGUUUUUGUUCUUGGAUUUUCUUUAAACAAUGCAUUCUUUGGUUCUGUCAAUUUCAGCACGCGCCAGCUUUUAUCUUUCCUUUGAGCCAGCAACAGGCAGCAGCUGCUGCUGCUGUUCGACCUGGAUCUGUUAAGUCUCCUCCGGCUGCUAGUAGUGCUGUGUCAUCCAGUGCAUUAAAUUGUGCCACAGUUAGUGCUACUGCAACAGCUGGAGCUCCAGCCACAGCAAUGAGCUUCAACUACCCAAAUAUGCCGGCCAAUGAGACCCAGUACCUGGCAAUUUUGCAGAACAGUGGGUACCCAUUCCCAAUUUCUGCACAUGUAGGAGCACCGCCUCCUUAUAGAGGAACUCAUACUCAACCUAUGCCAUUCUUUAAUGGGUCUACUUUCUAUUCUUCUCAAAUGCUUCAUCCUUCACAGCUUCAGCAGCAGCAGCAACUACAGCAACCUUUACCAACUCAGUCACAGCAAAGUCAACAAGGUCAUCAAAACGCAAGCAUUUCCAGUGGCUCCUCUUCGUCCCAUAAACAUUUACAGAAUCAGCAGCAGAGGCCACAUGGCAGUGGCAUCAAUGGUACCAGUAGUACUUUGCAAGGU
rnacentral:lncRNA from 1 species